rnacentral:misc_RNA from 1 species
ACAACUUCAAUUCAUUGAAGAAUAUAAAGAACUUAUUAUAAAAAAUUAUAAGAAUAUAACAAAUGACUCUUUUUUUCAAUCACUUAAUUGUUGAAACAAUGUGAUUAGUUUAUCCUCUCUAUCCCCAUUUUUCUUUCCCCAUAAAACUAAGGGAAUUGUUUGAUGUUUCUUCCCUUGAAACUAAUGGUUAAAACUUAUAUCCAAUAUAUCGAUAAGAAUUUCGAAAAGAAUAAUUAAUUAAGCCACGAUACGCUCCUGGUCUAUGUACAUUUGUUCCAGCCAAGGUGGGAUGGAGUCGCGAACACCACCACCGUGCUUCUGCUGCUCUGAACUGUAUAGUCCAGUACCAGUGGAGGACACAUCUUUCACCAAGGAAUGAACCCACGACACGUCUGGCUCGUUGAGUGGAGAGGGUGUGAUUGUUGAUCUUGUUGGAGCACCAUUUCCACCGCGAAAACCAAAAGAUUGAGAUCUCUUGAGCUUGUUUGUGUCAUCACUGUUGAAGCCCCAUUCCAGUUUCCCAUCAGGGGAGCCCCAGUCUGAUGACAUCAAAGGUGGUGAGUUAGCAACACCAUUGGGAACAGCACGAUGGCCCAUUCCACUACGGUCAAUAAAACUCUGGCUACGCUUUGCAAAAGCAGCAGACCUCGAGUUCAUGACAGCUUGAGCCACUGCUGCUGAGGAGUCGAAUCCAUAGGUUGAGGGCUUCCUCAUCGGAGACGAUGAUUGAGGAAUGUUAGUAUAGCUUGAUUGAAAUUGGUUCAUGUUUUGUCGCAUCUGUAGCCCGGUUGGAGAUUGCAUCUGGGAGCCGUUACUUGACACCUUAGGUGAGAGACCUUGCAAAUGAGAAACCGAUGGAGAGUACAACUGAGAGCUGGUGGUGGAUGUAACUCUCGGAGAAAGGCCUUGAAAUUGGGACAGCAAUUGAGAAUCCAUGGAUCCGAAAACAUCAUCAAGAUUCGUAGGCUUCAAAUCUGCCAUCCGAUUGUCCUUGUUCCAAUAAGACGGUGAAGAGAGACCAGCCAUCUCAUCUAUCAAUUGCUGUCUUAGUUGCUGCUGCGUGCGGAUGCUUUCCAAGCCAAGCAUGUCCAUGUCCAAGUCCAAGUCCCGAGCGUUUAGAGAUGUCUUUAGCCUACUGCCAGGUAGCUGUAAUGCAGGUGGGGUGAUGUUCGCUUUGUUCUGCCACAUGUUUCCACCCAUUGGAGACGAACAUGUAACAGCAGGAGACAUCGGUGGCGUUGAAGUACCAGGCAACAACAUGGAUGAAGAACCAAGAGCCAGAGGGCUCAAUGUUGACAUGUCCAUCGACCCAACUGGACUAGCCUUUGGAGAAGGGAUAGCUGAACCAGUGGACGCAUACAAGGGGCGCAGCUCUUCGGGCUUGUGAGCAAAGAAGCAAACUUUCCUUGAGCACCCGGUCUCAUCCUUGCAGAGACGGGUUCUAUAUUGAGCAGGGUGAAGCCAUGACUCAAAUACACCAUGAGCAUACUCACAAGAAUCAUUCUUUGCACAAACGCCUUUCUUGAACUCGGGACAUGGAACACAAGUAUAGUUAUACUUCCUUGGAUCGCGUCUCCUCGCAUUCUCCCCUGGAUGAACAAAAGGGCAUUCAGUCCAGUCAUGAGAAUAAGCCCUUGAACAUGGCUUAACCUUAAAACAAUACAUCCUGAAAUCAUCACUCCCAUAAAUCCCAUCAUUUAUGUCAGGCAAGGAAGUAUCGACCGGAUACUCUUUCUUCUCGCUACCUUCCUUCGUCAUCUGAAUUGCUGUUUUUCCUUCUUCCUCCUCCUCCAACUCAGCAAGCUCAGCCAAGCAGCCAUUCAACAACAACUCCAGCGAUUUCCUUUUCGAAUUCCUCAAAGACUUAGGAUAAGAAGCAAUCACAUCACAAGGCCUGUUUCCACUAGAAUCACAGACAUUAACAUCAGCAGAAGCAUCAAUCAAGAUCUUUAAAACCUCGACCGAUGAUUCCGACCCACCAGCUGCAGCACAGUGAAGAGCAGUUGCACCAUCAGAGCCACAAGCCCUGUUGACAUCAACCUUACCAGUUCCAACAAUAUACUUCAAAAUCUCAAUACUUCCAUACAUGGAAGCAAUCAUCAGAGGAGUUCUCUCUUCAAACCCCAUCUUUUUUGAACCAAAUCUUCUCCCAUACCAAAAGCUGAACUCAUCAACAGCACAACCUUUCUCAACUUCACAUAUGAAGCUAGCAAGAUCAUCUGAAGCUGACAAUUCAAGCAAUUUUGAACAAUUUCUACCAUGCCCAUCUUUCUUAUCCAUGUUUAAAUCAGAAGGACAAACUUUACUCCUUGAACCAGUACACAUCAAUUCCUUAGAGAUGGAUGGAUCAAGAAACUUGAAAAUCAAGUAUUGAAUUAGUUGUAAGAUUUGGGAGUUGUUAUUUGUUUUGAGUAAUUUUUUUUUGU